rnacentral:rRNA from 1 species
GACGAACGCUGGCGGCGCGCCUAACACAUGCAAGUCGAGCGAGAACCAGGGCUUCGGCCCUGGGGACAGCGGCGAACGGGUGAGUAUCACGUGGAUAACCUGCCCUCGGCACCGGAAUAGCCCGGGGAAACUCGGAUUAAUGCCGGAUAGCCCCUUCCUCCUGCGGGAGGUCGGGAAAAGGUAGCUUCGGCCUCUGGCCGAGGAUGGGUCCGCGGCGGAUUAGCUUGUUGGCGGGGUAAUGGCCCACCAAGGCGACGAUCCGUAGCUGGUCUGAGGGGACGAUCAGCCACACGGGGACUGAGACACGGCCCAGACUCCUACGGGAGGCAGCAGUGGGGAAUCUUGCGCAAUGGGCGAAAGCCUGACGCAGCGACGCCGCGUGCGGGAAGAAGGCCUUAGGGUUGUAAACCGCUUUCAGGAGGGACGAAGCCACUCGGGUGAAUAGCCCAGAGGGUGACGGUACCUCCAGAAGAAGCCCCGGCUAACUCCGUGCCAGCCGCCGCCGUAAUAC